AAUCAUAAGGCGAUUGAUUAGCGGCCCGAAUCGCCCUUUCCUGGACUAUUCCGUCCUCAAACUGACCCCUUUUGCAUAAAUUAUCCCCUGCCUGCCACCGUAGCCGCGACUUUCUGCCGAUCCCCUGCGAACGCUUCACCAUUCCAUCUAUAGUAUAUACGAUGGGUGUUGCUACAUGGAUAACAGUGAAUCUUCUCGAGCUGAUAACUCCCUCUCACCACCAACCUCCGGAAAGGAUGUAUUUAUGAAAUGAUACUCCCCCUUGUCGACGAAUCAUCAUAACAUCACCCACCCCUUGCCCACAAGAUAGCACUCCUUCGUUCCAUAUCUGCCCUAUCGACUGUGCCACGAAAUAUAAAGGCCUACCAUACCUGCUACUGCCACCGACUAACAUUGGCUCGAAUCCAAAGAUCCCACCUAGAACACGCCUACCACCUCCAAUCAAUGGAGCUAUCUCGCAAAUUACCCUCUCCCUCCACAUCGAAGUAAAGCACAACAUAUCACUCCAUCCACUCUUAUCCGUCAUACACCUGCACCCAUAACAACUUAAAUCACCUAUCAAUCAACCAUUCCAUCCUAUGUCUGGAGCCGGCGACCUCCCCCAUGCCGACUCCAAUAACGCAUAUUGCUCCUCUCGUGGUGAAGCCCCUCCUACAAUUACCUUGAACCUCAGACCUUGCGACCAUACUCCCCCCAGAACUGACAUAGCUUGAUCUUUCGUCAUGUGACCAUCUAGUCCAAAAGAUAACAUCCACCGAUCCCUACUUCGAAUAAAUUAACAUGGUAAAACUACAAGCUCUAUCUACGCAAUAUCUUAUACCCGUAACCAUCAAUCUAUGACUAGCGAAAACUUCCUUGGUGGAUUGCUGUAGUCGACGUUAUGACUCACAAGGACAGACGAUGUUCACCUCUACUCUGAUGACUACAGUGCACCCUAUUGUCCCUAUUAUCAUUACGUCUAUUCAAACACUCACCAAAGAGACCGCACUACCAAUAACUAAGGCCAUGCUAACAAUACCAGGAGCGACCCUGGUUGCACACUCAAUUUUUCAAAAAAAGACUGUUCACUUUCUCUUAUCACUCAUCGCACAUAAAAAACUAAAGUUUUUCUUCCGGGAGAGACGCCCGACGGUCAAAGUCAAAUUGACUUUGCCCCCCCAUUGAAACCCUUUGAUUGAAUACCGGGGAUUGCCCGACUGCCUCAAUGUCCCAAGGAUCUAUUCCUCUCAGUGG
rnacentral:rRNA from 1 species